GGCCCCGUAGCAUAAUUGGAUAGUGCACCUGACUACGAAUCAGGAGGUUGUGGAUUCGAAUUCCUCCGGGGUCA
rnacentral:tRNA from 1 species